GAGGGUAUAGCUCAGUGGUAGAGUGCAUGCCUAGUGUGCAUGAAGUCCUGGGUUCAAUUUCCAGUACCUCUG
rnacentral:tRNA from 1 species